rnacentral:rRNA from 1 species
AGUGAACGCUGGCGGCGUGCUUAACACAUGCAAGUCGAACGAGAACGGGCUAUAGCUUGCUAUAGUUGUCAGCUAAGUGGCGCACGGGUGAGUAAUGUAUAGGUAAUAUGCCUCUUACUAAGGGAUAACAAAUGGAAACGUUUGCUAAUACCUUAUACUCCUUAUUAACAGAAGUUAAUAAGGGAAAGAUUUAUUGGUAAGAGAUUAGCCUGUAUUGUAUCAGUUAGCUGGUGGGGUAAUGGCUUACCAAGACUAUGACACAUAACUGGUUUGAGAGGAUGAUCAGUCACACUGGAACUGAGACACGGUCCAGACUCCUACGGGAGGCAGCAGUGGGAAUAUUGCACAAUGGACGAAAGUCUGAUGCAGCAACGCCGCGUGGAGGAUGACACAUUUCGGUGCGUAAACUCCUUUUAUAUGAGAAGAUAAUGACGGUAUUAUAUGAAUAAGCACCGGCUAACUCCGUGCCAGCAGCCGCCGUAA